GAGGGCUCGCUUCUUUCUUUUCAUGACAACUUCAAUCACAAACUAUGGAGAAUACGGAUCUAAUGGAAGCUCAACAUCUCUCCCGCGAUGAAAUUUCCGAUUUAAACUCACUAAACAGCUCUCAACUCGCUGAUCUCGAGACUCUUCGCACUUCCAACCAAAGCCUAAAAUCGGAGUUGACGCAAAAGGACGAACUCCUUCACCAAAUUGAGUUGCAGAAGGACGAUGUUCUCAAGCAAUACAUCGAUCUUUCAGAGGCAAUUAAAGAGGUCUCAAGCGAAAGAGACGGGCUUUGCCUCGCAAUUCAGAGACUAGAGGAUGAUUUUCGCGUGAGAGAAAUGGAUUUUCACAAAGAAACAGAGAGAAAUAACACCGAGCUCGAGGUUUCUAGGAAGAAAGCUGAGGAAUUAUUAGAUGAGAAAAGAGAGCAAUCAGAAGUUUGUAUGCGUAAUUUGGAGAUUGUGCAAUCAGCGAAGCACGGGUUACUGAGAUUGGUUAAGAAUUUCAAUUCACGUGUGAAUAGAACGGAAAGUUCUGAUCAGUUAAAGUGCGAAAAAACAAAAUUGUUAAAUGAAGAGAAGGCUGUUUUUUCUGUGGAGCUGAAGAAGGUUCUAGAGCUGGCGAAUUUGGUAGAGGAAAAAUGGGGAGAGUAUGAGGAAAUGAGGAAAAAAGAGAAGAGAGAAUUGGAGAACAGCGCGGCGAGUUUAGCGGAGGAGAAUCGAGAUAUUAAUAGCUUGCUUAGAAUUGCUUUGGUUGAAAAGGAGACAGCGGAGAAGAGUUUGAACAGAAUAAGGGGAAAUACUGAACAGAAGAGAGGUGCCAUUAUGCAGAUUGCAGAGAGAGGGUUGCAAAAGGUUGGGUUCGGGUUCGGGUUUAUGAUGGGAAGUGCAACCAGUGAAACAUCUUCAGAUAAUUUGGAUUCUGAAACCAGUGCUAAAUCAGAUAAUGAUGAAUGCCAAACAGAAGCUGUCACUCUGGUCUCAACUGUAGAAACAAUAACAAAGAAGUUAAGACUUGAAAUCACACAAUUGCAGAGGUCUUUGGAGGAAUCUAGGUCAGGCAUGGAGUUUCUGCAGAAUCUAUCAGACAAACAAAGUCAGAAACUAGCAGAAAAUAUGAAAUACAUUAAAGAGUUGGAAGAUAGAGAAAUGCUGCUUACUCAAAAGGUUGAAGCACUCGUGGUAGAAAAUAAAGACGCUGAAGAAGAAAUCUCUAGAUGGAGAGAAGCUUGCGAAAUGGAAGUGGAAGCUGGAAAGAAAUCUAUUAAGGAGCAUGAAGUACUGGUUAAUAUUCUGAAACAAGAAUUGGAAAAGACAAGAGCUGCUUUACGUAUUUCUAAUAGCAAGUUGCAGCUGAAAGAUGAGCUAGUGGCGACAGCCAUCGCUGCUAGGGAGGCAGCUGAGAGUUCUCUCCAACUUGCAGACAGCAGGGCUACUGAGCUACAUAAGCAGAUUGAGGAGCUAGCAAGACAAUUAGAAGAAGUAGAGAAAAGGGAGCGAAUAAAUCGCCGUAGACUGAGGCGUUUGUGUUGGCCAUGGCGAGGUCUCAAGUUUAGCACUGCUAAUAAUACAACUGGUGUACGAAACGUGACAAGGAUGCUACCAGAAAUGCAAGCACUACUCCGUUAAUAUUUGAUUCUCACUCUCCUCCAAGCCUAAAGUUUUUUUUUGGGUUUUAAUUUCAAAAAGAAAAGUUAGUAGUCUUUAUUUAGAUGUUGUACGUGAAUUUCUGCUUGUUAUUCUUCUCUCUCUUCCUUUGUUUUGGCCCAUUGUACAGAAAUGAUCACGACUGAGCCAGAUGCUCUAUGGGCUGAUUUAUCGAUGCCUUUUUGGGAUAACUUUCACACAAAACAGUAGUGAAGGGGCGAAGUGCAUGGAGAAAAUUAACGUCAAAUUCAGAACACGCAUAUACCAGAUCAAAACAACCAUACAAGACUUUGGCAAGUUUACUUGUAACACUAUUUUUUUCCCACAUAUAUUCGACUUUUUCUUCUUAGGCUAUGGCGCUCAAGAGAAUUAAAGUAUAUGGCAGUAAUGACCGUUAAGUUUACAAAAUUAGCAACACAUUGGACAUCAAGAAAAAUUGAAAGA